ensembl:snRNA U6 U6 spliceosomal RNA
GAGCUCGCUUUGGCAGCACAUAUACUAAAAUUGGAACAACACAGAGAUUAGCAUGGGCCCUACGCAAGUUCGUGAAGCUUUCCAUAUUUCU